CAAUGUAUAAAAGGUGGUCAAAGGCAACCCAGGCAUAAGGUGUUUAGUCGCCUCUGACCAAUCAUGCGUCUGUUGCCAUUAAUUGUCGUGUUUUGUCUGGCGCUGGUGGUCGCUGAAGGUGGAAGGUGUAGCAAAUUCGGCCAGACGUGCGGAAAAUGGAAAAAGGAUGUCUGCCGCUGGUGCUGGAAACCUCACAGGCGUCUCUGCUGUCUUCGGGGCGACACAUUCAGUGAAUGCAGGAGGAAAUGCCAUUUCCCAAGUCGCUGCAGCACCCUAAACGGCAACUGUCACAAAGGAUGGUGCUGCGUCUUCUGCAAAGGAAAACAUUGCAAGAAAGGCUAGCUGCACCACUUGCUGUCAGCUGCCGCUGUCGUCAAGGGAUGGAUAACGACUGCACUGACACCAGAUGUGAAGUGACUGCAUGCACAAGGAAGACCCGUGCUAUGUUGGUGGCAUAACAGCAAGGCCGUACGUAAUUCUUAACAGGUGUUUAUGCGAACCGGACAUUUAGCUGCUUGUAGUUGGGCUUUACGUUGAAUACAAUUACGGAACCA